rnacentral:sRNA from 1 species
CCCAUUCCCCCAGUUCUAUUUCUAAUCCAGUUCUAUGAUCGAUCAUUCAUUCUUCAAUUUCCUCUUGUUAAUCAGCAAAAGUUGAUCGAUCAUUCGUUUCAAAUAUUGAUGCCUAAUUGCAUACUUAAAUUUGCUAAUGGGGUGAUCUACAGCUUUCAGAUGCAGGCCACUUUUCGUCGUCGUAUGAUGGAAAAGCACAACAAGGAAGAAAACUGAUAAAACACAGUAUCACCAAAGCAAGCACAAAUGGAUUAUGGAAAUAUGGAAUGUUUGAGUUCUCAGCAUCUCAGUAUUCUCCAUACCCUCCGCUCAAACUCGAAGGUUGCCUGCAGAUUUGCUUGAGACUGAGAAUUUGAGUGGUAGCCAAGAAGAAGGUGGUUUGGUUCAGUGUGAUCCAUGUGCCCGUGAUCAAUUGAGAUUCAGCCAUGCGAAACUUCGAUUCGUAAUUUGAUUCCGAGUGCCGUUGAGGAAAAGAAAAAGAUGGUUUUUUAGUAGUUAAAA